rnacentral:lncRNA from 1 species
ACAGCCAGCUCUAGCCCAGAGGGAAAGUAAGAGGAUGUUUCUGCAGCAGCUGUCCUUUCUCCUGUAACUACUAAACUGUCGCCCCUCACUAAAGAGGAUGGCUUUGCCUAUGCUGUCCCCACCCCUUGAAGCGAGCUUCCUCCUCUAUUGGGAUAGGAUCGUCUCCAAAAUAAACUCCCUGAGCACAAGUCCAAGUCUCAGUCCCUGCUUUCAUCCCAAACAGAAACCAUUGAAGACUCUUCGACAGAGAAAAUAAGAGGAGAAGCAGGUUGAGGGGCAGCUGGCACCUUAACAGCCACCUGUACUGUGAGAAGCCCAUGGGACAACACAGGGCCAUGAUGUUGGCAGGGAUUUGACCUCUGCUCAACCUACAGAACAUUUUCCCUUUAUUUGUCACUGUUGAUCUCUCUCUUUGACAUGCUUCACUGACACAA